rnacentral:rRNA from 1 species
UACGGAGGGUGCGAGCGUUGUCCGGAUUUAUUGGGUUUAAAGGGUGCGUAGGUGGCUUGUUAAGUCAGUGGUGAAAUACAGCCGCUCAACGGUUGAGGUGCCAUUGAUACUGACAAGCUUGAAACAAGUGGAGGUUGCCGGAAUGGAUGGUGUAGCGGUGAAAUGCGUAGAUAUCUGGAGGAACACCGGUGGCGAAGGCGGCAUCCUGGACUGUAACUGACACUGAGGAACGAAAGCCAGGGGAGCAAACGGG